rnacentral:rRNA from 1 species
UACGGGGGGGGCAAGCGUUGUUCGGAAUUACUGGGCGUAAAGGGCUCGUAGGCGGCCAACUAAGUCGGACGUGAAAUCCCCAGGCUCAACCUGGGAACUGCGUCCGAUACUGGAUGGCUUGAAUCCGGGAGAGGGAUGCAGAAUUCCAGGUGUAGCGGUGAAAUGCGUAGAGAUGUGGAGGAAUACCGAUGGCGAAGGCAGCCCCCUGGGCCAAUACUGACGCUCAUGCACGAAAGCGUGGGGAGCAAACAGG